GGAAGAAGAAAAAAAAUUGCCCUUUUCCACUUCGUUUUGAUUUCUCUAAUCUCGACUGCUUGCAUAGUUGCAUUGCUACCAUUUUUACCGCAUCCUCAUUCAUAACUUGUAAAAUCUGCUUGAAAAUUUGCAUACUUCCCUGCUCUUGCUCAAUUUGAUUGCUUUUUGAGCUGACUCUGGUAUUUUAGUUCACUUCUCGAAGGUCAUGCUUGUUAUGAAGCUCUUUGUUUUCUUUAUUAU
rnacentral:misc_RNA from 1 species